UUCACCCACUCCCGAGUUAAUCCAUUUGAAGAGUUUCCUUUAAUUACAUUAGGCUGCACCAGUGAUCUCCAACAAUAUAACUACUGUGUCAGUUUUUGAAAUUUUUCAAAAACGCAUGUGAUGCAUUGCCAUCUUACUUCAACGAUGAAUAUCUACGUGAUUGUUGUCACAAAACCAAGCGCCAUUUGGAUGACUGGACCCGCCGUUCCUGCUGUAUGCAGUCGGGAGAUAGGAGGGACUUCCCGUGCUGUACAUUUGAUACGUCACCAAUACGACACUGCCAGAAACAGUGGGCUGUAAUUUCCCGUGAAAACUGCGGUGUGGGUGGUGCUAAAUUGUACGUGUGUAAGUAAAGCUCACUCAGGCAAGCCUAUCCAUACUUCAAUUGAUCCGAACUAAAUUAAUCUUGAUCUCGACAUUUUGGUAUUCACUCAGCCUACUGUAAAUGGUAGUUUCAGUCACGAGUAAACGGACCGAAAGUAAUCUAUUUGUAACUUGCCCAAUGGUUUACCAUAGCAUUUUUCUAAGCAGUAAUUACAGGACAGUUUCAUUUCUCAGGUCAUUAAUUUCCUACGUUCAUCCAUCUGGAAUGAAGGAAGGAAGGAUGGAGCUAAGAAGUUUUCAGAUGCAGCCUAUGUACUUCAUGGUAAAAAUGAUAGUGUAUGGGGACCUUUUUUCAUUUUUUUGGGAAAGGUUAUGUUGUGUCUAUAUGAAAAAGUAUUCCACAUUUAUAACACUCUUUUCACUACAAUUUAGUUAAAUUUUUAGGCUAUUUUGACAGAACAGUUCAAAUCCCAAACCCAGCUCAAACUGAACAUUCUGUACAGUACCAUCUUUAUAAACAGUGCAUUGAAAAGUGCUGCUGUGGUAUAGUAGGUAAGAGUGAGAGUGCUGUGGUGCUCCUUUGAAUUUCCCUGUUUUUUUUUCUUCUGUUAUUGACAUUAUAGUAGUUUUCAGAAUGGAAUUUCCAUUGCCGGUUUCUACUCUUAAAGUCAAAAUUUUAUAUAAACUAGAAAAAUUAGUGACCUGUCAUAAGGUUAUUGGUAUACAGGGAGGUCUAAUAUAAACCAUAACUGCCUUAAUUGCAUACAUGUGGAUUCUGAAAUGGAUACAUGGUGAAAUACAUAGUUGUGUAUUUCAGAUACAUAAAGGCAGUGAAUAAUCGCAGUCGAAACAUCCAUUCCACACCAUGUGCACGCAGAAUUCCAGUACUGGACUUUAAUGGCCCCAACCACACUUAUUUUAUAGAAAACAAUUAACAGUUUCAAAGCAAUGAUCUUUAUUAAGCACAUAAUCUAACAUGCAUUUGUUUCAAAAUACUGAACACAAAAAUAGCCCAUGAUCAUUAGUACAAGUGGCAAAAGAUUAUAUAUUUUUUUGUCUUGUCCAUUUUUCUUUUGUUAAAUUAGAAGUUAAAAACAGCCAGUGGAUCUUCAUCAAAAAAAGUGUCCAUGAAACACACCGUAGACAGAAA